UCCCUGGUGGCUCAGUUGGUAGAGAAUUCGCCUGCAGUGCAGGAGACCCGGGUUCGAUUCCUGGGUUGGGAA
rfam:Ovis aries breed Texel chromosome 13, whole genome shotgun sequence.